GAAUAUGAAUUAACCCAUACAAUCUAGAUCUUUCCAAACCAGAAGUUUGAAAACUUCUGCCCAGAGCCAAACUCUGUGACUUAAACGAGCCACUUGAGCAAUGUUGAUUGUUGAUUGAAUGAGUCAGUCAAUCUUCUUUCUGUGAAUGAGUACACUGAGGCACAAAUGGUUCAAGGAAUGAAUUUUUUAAGAAAUAAUUAUUGCACAUUCAUUAAAGGUCAGGCACUGGAUAUGACAAGAAUAAUUCCAACAUGAACAAAGCAUAGAUGUUGGGCUCGUAAGACGCUGGGAGAGACCACCUUUGAACAUCUAUAAGCGAUAGAUAUGCUACAAAUACAGAAACGGGUACUGCUAGGACUUCCCCGGUCAAUCCAGGUUAAGACUCCUCACUCCGAAUGCAGAAGAUGCAAGUUCAAACCCUGAUUGGGGAACAAAGAUCCCACAUGCUAAUCCCACCUGCCACACAGUGUGGCCAAAAAAAAAAAAAAGAGAGAGAGAGACAGUGCUGUGGAAAAUGUAACAGAGGGAACAAAUAAAGUUUAAGAGUCUGAUUUGCAACUUAAAGUAGAAGAUAACAGAGCAAACUAGUCCAGCUGGUUCCCAAACUUCAGCAUGCCUCAGAAUCACCUGGAGGGCUUGUUAACAUGUAGAUCGCUGGGCCCCGUCUCAGCAUUUCUGACUCAGUAGAUCUGGGAUAGGGCCUGAGAACAUGAAUUUCUAGUGCUCCCCAGGUUGAGGCUGAUGCUACCCUUCUGGGGACCACAUUUUGCGUAAUAACUGAGCUAGGUGCAGAUGGGGACCAGGGGCUGGGGAAACCAUCCUCUAGUGUAUUGGGGAAGCCCUGUGUAUAAAAGAGCAGGGCAGGGAGCUGAAAUAAUGCUUUGAUUGAUCAGGGUCCCAACAGAAGUGGUGAUAUAGUUAAACAGGGUCAGUUAGGGGAGUCUAAUGAAGUGCCCUCUAACAAAAGUUUAGGUGGGGCUGAGGGAAGUGAACAAGGGAAAGGAUGCUGAAAAUGAAGGUUCGGACAAGACUGAAGUGACUUAGCAGCAGCAGCCGCAGGAAGGAGCUUGCAGCAGCCCCAUCACUCAGGGGCACCGGAAUAGAGCAGUGAAGGAACCAGGCCGAGGACUUCCCUGGUGGUCUAGAGGUUCAGACUCCACACUUCCAGGGCAGAGGCCAAGAACUCAGUCCCUGGUCCACAGGGGACUAAGAUCCCACAUUCCAUGCAGUGCUCCCAGGAAGGAAAGAAAGAAAGGAAGAAAUCAGACAGCGCUGGAACCAGAGGGGGAAAACCUCUUAACAAGGGCUGAGGUUGUCAGUUCCUGCAGGUUCCCUGCAUUUUCCUGGCAUGUGAAUCUUCCUUCUGACAUGCACAGCAUGGCUGCUUAUUCCUUCAAGGCCAGCAGGAAAACAAGAAUGACUCUAAAGAGAUGGAGUCUUAAGUAGCAUGAUGUAAACACUGGAGUGGACUUCCCAGGGGCGCUAGUGUUGAAGGACCCGCCCGCCAGUGCAGGAGACGCAAGAGACGCGGGUUCGAUCCCUGGGUGAAGGACCCGCCCGCCAGUGCAGGAGACGUGAGAGACACGGGUUCCAUCCCUGGGUGAAGGACUCGCCCGCCAGUGCAGGAGACGUAAGAGAUGCGGGUUCCAUCCCUGGGUGAAGGACUCGCCCGCCAGUGCAGGAGAUGUGAGAGACGCGGGUUCCAUCCCUGGGUGAAGGACUCGCCCGCCAGUGUAGGAGAUGCAAGGGACGCGGGUUCGAUCCCUGGGUCAGGAAGAUUCCCUGGAGGAGGGCAUGGCAGCCCACUCGAGUAUUCUUGCAUGGAGAAUCCCUUGGACAGAGGAACCUGGCGGGC
ensembl:lncRNA